GGAAUGUAGAAUCUAGUUUGUGAAUUGUAAAGAGAAUAUAAAGGAAAACAUCUUUUGAUUAUGCGAAAGGAUACUUUGUAAAAGAAUGGAAGUGCUAUUAUGGUUUAAAAAAAAAUUUCAUAGCUGAAAAUUUGUCGUCCUUAUAAAGUUUCCUUGCCCACGUGUUUUGAAUUUAAUUAACGUAUCAAGCGAGGUUUUGAAAAGUUCUUCGAAUUAAAAAGUUUGCAUCGUUUUAAGAAUGAUGCGAGAUGAUGACAUAA
rnacentral:lncRNA from 1 species